rnacentral:rRNA from 1 species
UACAGAGGUCUCAAGCGUUGUUCGGAAUCACUGGGCGUAAAGGGUGCGUAGGCGGCACGGUAAGUCAGAGGUGAAAUCCCGGAGCUCAACUUCGGAAUUGCCUCCGAUACUGCCGUGCUUGAGGACUGGAGAGGAGAUUGGAAUUCACAGUGGAGCAGUGAAAUGCGUAGAUAUUGUGAGGAACACUAGUGGCGAAGGCGACUACCUGGCCUGUUUCUUGACGCUGGAGGCGCGAAAGCUAGGGGAGCAAACGGG